GCUUUUCCUAUAUUUGGACAACUCAGCUUUUUCCUAGCUCAGAUUGGCUUAUCCCUUCGAUAAAGAUGCGCCUACAUGAUCAAUUUAGACAGGAAUGGCAUUCACUUAUGUUAAAUUCACCGAAAUCUAUAAAUUAUAGAUUAUUUAAGGAGACAUUUCAGUUUGAAUGUUUUUUUAAAUAUAUUGGAAGAUAAAGAUAUCUAUACGCUGUGCAGGUUUAGAACCACAAAUCAUAGACUUCCUAUAGAAACAAGACGGUGGAAUGGUAUAGAAAAGGAAAAAAGAAAAUGUUUGAAAUGUAAUAAUAACUGUAUUGGUGACGAAUAUCAUUAUAUUCUGGAAUGUAAAUUAUUUGAAAAUAACAGAAAAAAACUAAUUGAUAAAAAUUUGUGGCAAAGGUCAAAUAUUUUGAAAUUCAAAGAAAUAAUGAGUUGUACUAACAAGUUUAAAUUAGAAAAACUAUGUAGACUUAUUAACAUACUAUAUAAUAAAAUAUCUUUUCUAUCGAUCAUCCCGCUGGGAAGUCAUCAAGAACACAGUAUUAUUUUAUUUAGGGGGUUCACUCGAUAGAAGCAAAUUUUUAUUAGUCUUAACUUCAAGGUUAAUCGAGCAAAUUUAUCUAAUAAUUGAUUUUUACUUUUUCUUUACUUUACACCGAGCUCAUGAAGGUCAUUAUAUCUGAUUUUAUUGCUGUGUCCACAAUUGUUAUUCUACGUAUUUCACCUGUAUCGGUGUGGACAAUUCCAUGUUUAUAUCACAUGACAUUUCCGCGGGAAAUUCUUCUAUUGAGACCGUACAAAGAGAUGUAAAUUUGGAUUAAUGCAUAUGUAUUGUGAAAUAUAUUGUUCUCUGUGUAUAUAUUUUUGAUGAAUUGAUAAUAACAUUUUCUACAACAUAGUUAGAUGUCAGGUUUGUACACAUUUAGUCUCUACUCUAGUCUAUAUUCAAAACUGAAGCCAGUGAACUGGUCAGUGAAGGGAUACAUGUGCCUCGUUACACUCAAUGUCUCUUACCAUAGUUAUAUCCUACAUUGCUCAUAUUAUCAAUUUAUUAUUUGUGUAUUACUUAUUGUGUAUUUCACUAAUGUUUAUAUAAUCAUUGUAUUAUGAUGUUUUUGUAUCUUGCCUGACAAGGGUCCAUGGCUGGUAUAAUAAAAUAAUGUCUAAUGUCCAAUCUAUCUAUCUAUCUAUCUAUCUUCAUAUUUCCGCACUCAGUCACAACUUUGUCUAUUACGUGCCGUUGCAUGCGUGGCUUAUUUACAAUUUCAUGAAUUUAAAAAGAAAUAAGUUUGCCGUAAUAUUACGUUACAUUGCAUAUUGGUGCUUAAACAAAAAUAAAUAAGUAAAAAUAAAACAGUGAUUUAAUUAAAUUUUUUUGUGGAUUAUUAUCCUAUGUAUAUUUCUUGGUAAAACUAUGUACAUGUUAUCUGCAGUUUUUAGAAUAUUUGUGAAAGAGUAGAUAUAGAAAUCUGGUCUUUGAAGCCGUCAACUGUUGUACAAAGGAUUGCUGAUGUAAGAAGUAGGUUCCAUUGUACUAUUGUAUGUGGAUAAAAUGAAAACUUGUACGCCAAAUAAAUAAAUCAUUUGUUCUCUAGGCAAUAACAUAACCCCCAUUUUGUAUAUUCUGUACAUACUGAUAUAUGUGUAUGUGUGUAUUUAACGAUACAUAGUGUAUGCCUGUGUGUAUGUAUGUUUGUGUAUAAGAUGUUAUUAUAAAUAAGUUUGUUUUCAUUGCUAUAUGUAUGUAUAUCU
rnacentral:lncRNA from 1 species